GAUGAGAAGAGCUUGCUCUUCGAUUCAGCGGCGGACGGGUGAGUAAUACCUAGGAAUCUGCCUGGUAGUGGGGGACAACGUUUCGAAAGGAACGCUAAUACCGCAUACGCCCUACGGGGGAAAGCAGGGGACCUUCGGGCCUUGCGCUAUCAGAUGAGCCUAGGUCGGAUUAGCUAGUUGGUGAGGUAAUGGCUCACCAAGGCGACGAUCCGUAACUGGUCUGAGAGGAUGAUCAGUCACACUGGAACUGAGACACGGUCCAGACUCCUACGGGAGGCAGCAGUGGGGAAUAUUGGACAAUGGGCGAAAGCCUGAUCCAGCCAUGCCGCGUGUGUGAAGAAGGUCUUCGGAUUGUAAAGCACUUUAAGUUGGGAGGAAGGGUACUUACCUAAUACGUGAGUAUUUUGACGUUACCGACAGAAUAAGCACCGGCUAACUCUGUGCCAGCAGCCGCGGUAAUACAGAGGGUGCAAGCGUUAAUCGGAAUUACUGGGCGUAAAGCGCGCGUAGGUGGUUCGUUAAGUUGGAUGUGAAAUCCCCGGGCUCAACCUGGGAACUGCAUCCAAAACUGGCGAGCUAGAGUAGGGCAGAGGGUGGUGGAAUUUCCUGUGUAGCGGUGAAAUGCGUAGAUAUAGGAAGGAACACCAGUGGCGAAGGCGACCACCUGGGCUCAUACUGACACUGAGGUGCGAA
rnacentral:rRNA from 1 species